GGGUCGGUGGUGCAGCGGCAGCACGUCGGUUUCCAAGUCCGAAGACGGGGGUUCGAUCCCUCCCCGACCUGCCA
rnacentral:tRNA from 1 species